rnacentral:snRNA from 1 species
GUAUGAGGGGCCAACCUGGCUACAAUAUUUGUCACCUCAUGAUUACCAAGAUUAAUUUGUCUGAUCUUACUGGCUAGGCAGAUGUCUCCUUCCUCCCUCACAUGUGUCCCUCCCAAAAUGAAAGAGGAUGACUUACCCAGAAUAGAGACAGACUAAUCUUUGGUUGAAGGUGUACAAGUAGUUGUGCUCCUCUGCUAGAACCUCAAAAUAAGCUCUCAUGAAUACAUUCUAUGUUAUUGCAGUUAUUUACUAUUUAUUUAAAUUUUUAUUU